rnacentral:rRNA from 1 species
AAACGGGUAACAUCGUAAAAAUAUUUUUUCUCCGCCUUAUUGCUUUUCUCCCGAGCUUGCUCCACCGGAAAAAGAGGAGUGGCGAACGGGUGAGUAACACGUGGGUAACCUGCCCAUCAGAAGGGGAUAACACUUGGAAACAGGUGCUAAUACCGUAUAACAAUCGAAACCGCAUGGUUUUGAUUUGAAAGGCGCUUUCGGGUGUCGCUGAUGGAUGGACCCGCGGUGCAUUAGCUAGUUGGUGAGGUAACGGCUCACCAAGGCGACGAUGCAUAGCCGACCUGAGAGGGUGAUCGGCCACAUUGGGACUGAGACACGGCCCAAACUCCUACGGGAGGCAGCAGUAGGGAAUCUUCGGCAAUGGACGAAAGUCUGACCGAGCAACGCCGCGUGAGUGAAGAAGGUUUUCGGAUCGUAAAACUCUGUUGUUAGAGAAGAACAAGGAUGAGAGUAACUGUUCAUCCCUUGACGGUAUCUAACCAGAAAGCCACGGCUAACUACGUGCCAGCAGCCGCGGUAAUACGUAGGUGGCAAGCGUUGUCCGGAUUUAUUGGGCGUAAAGCGAGCGCAGGCGGUUUCUUAAGUCUGAUGUGAAAGCCCCCGGCUCAACCGGGGAGGGUCAUUGGAAACUGGGAGACUUGAGUGCAGAAGAGGAGAGUGGAAUUCCAUGUGUAGCGGUGAAAUGCGUAGAUAUAUGGAGGAACACCAGUGGCGAAGGCGGCUCUCUGGUCUGUAACUGACGCUGAGGCUCGAAAGCGUGGGGAGCAAACAGGAUUAGAUACCCUGGUAGUCCACGCCGUAAACGAUGAGUGCUAAGUGUUGGAGGGUUUCCGCCCUUCAGUGCUGCAGCUAACGCAUUAAGCACUCCGCCUGGGGAGUACGACCGCAAGGUUGAAACUCAAAGGAAUUGACGGGGGCCCGCACAAGCGGUGGAGCAUGUGGUUUAAUUCGAAGCAACGCGAAGAACCUUACCAGGUCUUGACAUCCUUUGACCACUCUAGAGAUAGAGCUUCCCCUUCGGGGGCAAAGUGACAGGUGGUGCAUGGUUGUCGUCAGCUCGUGUCGUGAGAUGUUGGGUUAAGUCCCGCAACGAGCGCAACCCUUAUUGUUAGUUGCCAUCAUUUAGUUGGGCACUCUAGCAAGACUGCCGGUGACAAACCGGAGGAAGGUGGGGAUGACGUCAAAUCAUCAUGCCCCUUAUGACCUGGGCUACACACGUGCUACAAUGGGAAGUACAACGAGUCGCAAAGUCGCGAGGCUAAGCUAAUCUCUUAAAGCUUCUCUCAGUUCGGAUUGUAGGCUGCAACUCGCCUACAUGAAGCCGGAAUCGCUAGUAAUCGCGGAUCAGCACGCCGCGGUGAAUACGUUCCCGGGCCUUGUACUAAACCGCCCGUCACCACCAACGGGAAAGGG